AAUUCCUCCCUCUCGGCUGAGUCUUUGCAUUGUAAGAAGAGGGGAAUAUGAAGUGGACCAAAGAACCGCAAGAGGACCCCAGAAAGUCCUAGUACAGCUGGUAAAUAAUGUUCCUUGUUAGCAGAGCCCUUGAGCCACACAUUUUGGACCCCGGAUGCAUGUUAUUUGUGAAACCCAGUUAACUGACUUUCCCAGCCUGUUAUCACGGCUGGUUAGGAGCCAUUAGGAAGUGCUGAGUACAAAGUGCUGGCCGGGACCCAGUGUAUCUUCACUCAUUUGCUGAUUGAGCGAGCUUGAAAUGCUGCCCAUCGCUAAUGACACGCAGUGCAGACUUGCCAAGGAACACGCAGGGCCUUUGGGAUCCAGCAGGGCUGAUAUCAAGGUGACCAGAGGAGGGAAAUGAUAGUGAGUAGCAUCUGAGGCCACCCUUGCCUUCCCCUCCGUCUCGAGCCAGCUCCUCUGGUUCCAAGGCUGUUUCCUCCUGCGGUCCCUCACCAGGCAGCAGCCUCCACAUUAGCAAGCAUCUGCCCUCCGCAGUUCCUGCCUUCGCUCAGCUCCUGUGACUGACAGCACCACGAGGCCAGGCCCCGUGCCAGGCCCUGAGAGCCCGACAAGAAGCAGACACCAUCCCAGCCUCAGGUGGCUCACAGACUGGGGAUGCAGACAGACGUGGAAAUGGGCGAGUCUCUCUCCUGUGGUGCAAGAAAACCCAGUGGUGCCAAAAGAGCAGGGGAACAGGAAAUGGGACCAAAGAGCCAAAGGAACCAAAAAAUCUCAGUCUGUGUAGGUCCCUGGAGAAGGCGAGGCUGGAAUGGAAUUCAUCCAGAAAGCUGAAUGACGGGGAGAAAUGAUGUUUCUAGAAAACAGAGCUGCAGGUGCAGAUGGCAGAGCACAGCAGAUUGCCACGUGAACUUUGGAGGGAACUUGUGGCAAGAAACUGAGGCCUCCUUCCAGGCUGCCGACAUUCCAAGAAGCCGUUCCUCCGGUGCAGGCAGGGAGACCAGUCUGCAGAAGGAGAGUCAAGGGACUGGAACUCUUCACGCCAGGGAGUGAACGGCUGAUCACCCCCGUGCAGCUCCCUCUUUCCCAACCUUACCCUUAAGGACACAAAUAAACAAAGAAUGGGUGAAAUGUCCUGGUGGCAUCUUAUGUGGACUGAAGAAGAGGAGAGAACUUCUCUCGUAAGUGAAGAAGGUGAGCUGUUCACUCACGUGUUUGGUUAAUCCAGCGCCAGUUUCUCCUCAAUGUUAGCAUGAAUUGAAUAGCUUCGACGAAACAGAGAAAUUCUUUGGAAGACACAAACUACCAAAGCUUCACUCUAGAAGUCAAUAACAAGAAUCGCCCUAUACACAUUAAAUAAAUUGAAUUCAAAACUGAAAACCCUCCAACAAAGGAAAACCCAGCGGGCUCCACUGUGAAUUCAAAUACCAAGUUAUUUAAGGAAAAAAUAAUCCCAGUUCCACACAAACUUUUACAGAAAAUAGAAGAGGCGGAAACACUUCUCAAUCAUUUUUGAAUCCCUGAUAUCAAAAAGAGAAAAAAAAGGGAAAACGACCAUCUACAAUUCCUCAUGAAUAUAGAUGCAAAAAUCCUUAGCAAAAUAUUAUCAAAGCAGCGCAUACAGCAGAGAGCUCAUAAUUGCCAUGUCGGGAAGUAGUCAGUCUUUCAAGCGGACACACAAACUGCAGGGCUUUCAUGCGAUGGGACACUGUGCUGGGAGAGAAAGGAAUGACCUACAGAGACGCAAGGACAGGGAGAAGUCUCAAAUGCAUUACGGGGAGGUAGAGACUGAGGUAUGAUCUUAUCUACAUGGCAUCCUGAAAAAGAUGCAAUUAUGGGAACAGAAAACAGGUCAUUUGAUGGCCAGGAUGAAGAGCAGGAUGCCCAGAGCGACAUUGUAAGAAGGAAUUUCUUGUGGUAAUAGAAUAGUCCUGGGUCUUAUGUCCAAGUACAGUUGUGUCACAAUGUAUCCCACUUUUAUGUGUAAUUAUUAUGUACUAAUAAAAAAUUUUAAA